GAGGAGGCUCAGUGGUAGAGCGCUUGCCUAGCAUGUGUGAGGCACAGGGUUCGAAUCUCAGCACCUCA
rnacentral:tRNA from 1 species